rnacentral:rRNA from 1 species
AGUGAACGCUGGCGGCAGGCCUAACACAUGCAAGUCGAGCGGCAGCGCGUCCGACCACCCUCGGGUGGUCGGAUGGCGGCGAGCGGCGGACGGGUGAGGAAUGCAUCGGAAUCUGCCUCGUUGUGGGGGAUAACGUAGGGAAACUUACGCUAAUACCGCAUACGACCUACGGGUGAAAGUGGGGGACCUUCGGGCCUCACGCGAUGAGAUGAGCCGAUGCCGGAUUAGCUAGUUGGCGGGGUAAAGGCCCACCAAGGCGACGAUCCGUAGCUGGUCUGAGAGGAUGAUCAGCCACACUGGAACUGAGACACGGUCCAGACUCCUACGGGAGGCAGCAGUGGGGAACAUUGGACAAUGGGGGCAACCCUGAUCCAGCCAUGCCGCGUGUGUGAAGAAGGCC